AGCAGCCGCGGUAAUUCCAGCUCCAAUAGCGUAUAUUAAAGUUGUUGCAGUUAAAAAGCUCGUAGUUGAAUUUCGGGGUCAAUAAGUUGGUCAUGCCAAUGGUAUGUACUGGCUUUAUUGAUUCCUACCUCUUGACGAACUGUGAUGCCAUUAAUUUGGUGUUGCAAGGAAUCAGGACUGUUACCUUGAAAAAUUAGAGUGUUUAAAGCAAGCUUACGCUUGAAUACAUUAGCAUGGAAUAAUGAAAUAGGACGUUUGAUCCUAUUUUGUUGGUUUCUAGGAUCGACGUAAUGAUUAAUAGGGAUAGUUGGGGGCAUUAGUAUUCAAUUGUCAGAGGUGAAAUUCUUGGAUUUAUUGAAGACUAACUACUGCGAAAGCAUUUGCCAAGGAUGUUUUCAUUAAUCAAGAACGAAAGUUAGGGGAUCGAAGACGAUCAGAUACCGUCGUAGUCUUAACCAUAAACUAUGCCGACU
rnacentral:rRNA from 1 species